UAACGCGUGAGGAACCUGCCUUUCAGAGGGGGACAACAGCUGGAAACGGCUGCUAAUACCGCAUAACACAUAGGUGUCGCAUGGCAUUUAUGUCAAAGAUUUAUCGCUGAGAGAUGGCCUCGCGUCUGAUUAGCUAGUUGGUAGGGUAACGGCCUACCAAGGCGACGAUCAGUAGCCGGACUGAGAGGUUGGCCGGCCACAUUGGGACUGAGAUACGGCCCAGACUCCUACGGGAGGCAGCAGUGGGGAAUAUUGGGCAAUGGGCGCAAGCCUGACCCAGCAACGCCGCGUGAAGGAGGAAGGCUUUCGGGUUGUAAACUUCUUUUAAGAGGGAAGAGUAGAAGACGGUACCUCUUGAAUAAGCCACGGCUAACUACGUGCCAGCAGCCGCGGUAAUACGUAGGUGGCAAGCGUUGUCCGGAUUUACUGGGUGUAAAGGGCGUGUAGCCGGGCCGGCAAGUCAGAUGUGAAAUCCCAAGGCUCAACCUUGGAACUGCAUUUGAAACUGUUGGUCUUGAGUAUCGGAGAGGCAGGCGGAAUUCCUAGUGUAGCGGUGAAAUGCGUAAAUAUUAGGAGGAACACCAGUGGCGAAGGCGGCCUGCUGGGCUUUAACUGACGCUGAGGCUCGAAAGCGUGGGUAGCAAACAGGAUUAGAUACCCUGGUAGU
rnacentral:rRNA from 1 species